GAUGAACGCUGGCGGCGUGCCUAAUACAUGCAAGUCGAGCGAACAGACGAGGAGCUUGCUCCUCUGACGUUAGCGGCGGACGGGUGAGUAACACGUGGAUAACCUACCUAUAAGACUGGGAUAACUUCGGGAAACCGGAGCUAAUACCGGAUAAUAUAUUGAACCGCAUGGUUCAAUAGUGAAAGACGGUUUUGCUGUAACUUAUAGAUGGAUCCGCGCCGCAUUAGCUAGUUGGUAAGGUAACGGCUUACCAAGGCAACGAUGCGUAGCCGACCUGAGAGGGUGAUCGGCCACACUGGAACUGAGACACGGUCCAGACUCCUACGGGAGGCAGCAGUAGAGAAUCUUCCGCAAUGGGCGAAAGCCUGACGGAGCAACGCCACGUGAGUGAUGAAGGUCUUCUGAUCGUAAAACUCUGUUAUUAGGGAAGAACAAAUGUGUAAGUAACUAUGCACGUCUUGACGGUACCUAAUCAGAAAGCCACGGCUAACUACGUG
rnacentral:rRNA from 1 species